rnacentral:rRNA from 1 species
AUACGGAAGGUCCGGGCGUUAUCCGGAUUUAUUGGGUUUAAAGGGAGCGCAGGCGGAGAUGCAAGCGUGACGUCAAAUUUCGGGGCUCAACCCCGUCUCGCGUCGCGAACUGCGUCCCUUGGUUGCGGGAAGGGGAGGCGGAACUCGUGGUGUAGGGGGGAAAUGCAUAGAUAUCACGAAGAACUCCGAUCGCGAAGGCAGCCUUCCGGCCCGUCAACGACGCUCAUGCUCGAAGGUGCGGGUAUCAAACAGGAUUAGAUACCCUGGUAGUCCGCACAGUAAACGAUGGACACCCGCGGUUUGGCCUGUAUGGCUGAGCCGCCAAGCGAAAGCGUUAAGUGUCCCACCUGGGGAGUACGCCGGCAACGGUGAAACUCAAAGGAAUUGACGGGG